UGUCCCAAGGGGCCUGAAGCGUCUGCUUAGAGAAAAUUAGAGGGUUCAAAGCAGGCCAGCCGCCGGCACAGUGCAGGUAGGAAUAAUGGAGUAGGACUCCGGUUCUAUUUUGUUGGUUUUCAGAAAUGGGCCCAUGAUUAAGGGGCAUGGCUGGGGGCAUUUGUAUUGUGCUGCUAGAGGCAUCACCCCAUCAGGGCAAAACACUGGAGUGUGGUCAGCAGCAAUUGUGAUU
rnacentral:ncRNA from 1 species